UACAGAGGGGGCAAGCGUUGUUCGGAAUUACUGGGCGUAAAGGGCGCGUAGGCGGCCUGCUAAGUCGAACGUGAAAUCCCCGGGCUCAACCCGGGAACUGCGUCCGAUACUGGUAGGCUUGAAUUCGGGAGAGGGAUGCGGAAUUCCAGGUGUAGCGGUGAAAUGCGUAGAUAUCUGGAGGAACACCGGUGGCGAAGGCGGCAUCCUGGACCGACACUGACGCUGAGGAGCGAAAGCCAGGGGGAGCAAACGGG
rnacentral:rRNA from 1 species